AAAUGUCACGCAACCUUAACUAUCGAUGAUGCUACCAGUGCCCACCUAUAAUUUCAAUCAGCACUGCCUCCCCAAAAGAAGUUUUUGUUGUCGCUAGAUCCAGAAGAUAUGGCAGAACAAAGGAGGAAGAUAAUGGCACAAUGUUUAAGAAAUGGGGACUUCAAGACAUACGCUUAAGAUAACCCACAACAUAUGCAUGACAUAUGGACAUAUGUAACAGUCUCUGUUGGAAACCCAUAAACCAUGAUGCCAUUGCACCAGAUCCUCAGGUACUGUAAAUAGAGUUAUGCCAAAUUUAUACCAGCUGAGGAUCUGACCCAUUAUGUCCAAGUCUACACAUUCUUCCAAGUCCUUCUAGCCACCAUCAGUAAUCUCAUCAUUUUUGGGUUAAUGAAAAAUAUCUAGCCCCCGUAAGAACAGAGAAAGAGCAAAUAAUAGUCCUACAAACGGAAGCAUUUUGAGUAAAGGUAAAAUUACAAUGUAUUUAUGUGUCAAGUUAUCUUUUAUUACUUCAAUCCUUUGCAUUUUGUUAAAUGUUAUAUUUCAAAAUACCUUAAUAAAAAGAUUAUGUAGA